UACGUAGGGGGCAAGCGUUGUCCGGAAUCAUUGGGCGUAAAGCGCGUGUAGGCGGUUCAGUAAGUCUGCUGUGAAAGUCCAGGGCUCAACCCUGGGAUGCCGGUGGAUACUGCUGGGCUAGAGUACGGAAGAGGCGAGUGGAAUUCCCGGUGUAGCGGUGAAAUGCGCAGAUAUCGGGAGGAACACCAAUGGCGAAGGCAGCUCGCUGGGACGGUACUGACGCUGAGGCGCGAAAGCGUGGGGAGCAAACAGG
rnacentral:rRNA from 1 species